rnacentral:rRNA from 1 species
UACGUAGGGUGCAAGCGUUGUCCGGAAUUAUUGGGCGUAAAGAGCUCGUAGGCGGCUUGUCACGUCGGGUGUGAAAGACCGGGGCUUAACUCCGGUUCUGCAUUCGAUACGGGCUAGCUAGAGUGUGGUAGGGGAGAUCGGAAUUCCUGGUGUAGCGGUGAAAUGCGCAGAUAUCAAGCGGAACACCGGUGGCGAAGGCGGCCUUCUGGACAGUGACUGACGCUGAGACGCGAAAGCGUGGGGAGCAAACAGG